rnacentral:rRNA from 1 species
GAGUUUGAUCCUGGCUCAGGAUGAACGCUGGCGGCGUGCCUAACACAUGCAAGUCGAGCGGAGCAAUCUUGAUGAAGUUUUCGGAUGGAAUCAGGAUUGACUUAGCGGCGGACGGGUGAGUAACACGUGGAUAACCUGCCUUAUACUGGGGGAUAACAGCCAGAAAUGGCUGCUAAUACCGCAUAAGCGCACGGCGCCGCAUGGCGCAGUGUGAAAAACUCCGGUGGUAUAAGAUGGAUCCGCGCCUGAUUAGCUAGUUGGCGGGGCUGCGGCCCACCAAGGCGACGAUCAGUAGCCGGCCUGAGAGGGCGACCGGCCACAUUGGGACUGAGACACGGCCCAAACUCCUACGGGAGGCAGCAGUGGGGAAUAUUGCACAAUGGGGGGAACCCUGAUGCAGCGACGCCGCGUGAGUGAAGAAGU